ensembl:rRNA 5S_rRNA 5S ribosomal RNA
GGCUCCGGCCCUAUCAGCCUGAAGGCGCCCGAUCUCGUCUGAUCUCGGAAGCUAAGCACGGUCGGGCCUGGUUAGGAUCUUGGAUGGGAGACCACCUGGGAAUCCCGGGUGCUCGAGGCU